rnacentral:rRNA from 1 species
GACGAACGCUGGCGGCGUGCUUAACACAUGCAAGUCGAACGGAAAGGCCCUGCUUUUGUGGGGUGCUCGAGUGGCGAACGGGUGAGUAACACGUGAGUAACCUGCCCUUGACUUUGGGAUAACUUCAGGAAACUGGGGCUAAUACCGGAUAGGAGCUCCUGCUGCAUGGUGGGGGUUGGAAAGUUUCGGCGGUUGGGGAUGGACUCGCGGCUUAUCAGCUUGUUGGUGGGGUAGUGGCUUACCAAGGCUUUGACGGGUAGCCGGCCUGAGAGGGUGACCGGGCACCUUGGGACUGAGAUACGGCCCAGACUCCUACGGGGGGCAGCAGUGGGGAAUAUUGCACAAUGGGCGGAAGCCUGAUGCAGCAACGCCGCGUGCGGGAUGACGGCCUUCGGGUUGUAAACCGCUUUCGCCUGUGACGAAGCGUGAGUGACGGUAAUGGGUAAAGAAGCACCGGCUAACUACGUG